CCUCACCAAAGCCCGGAGUGAUGUCAAGAACCACGGCAGGUAUCCUCAUUUGAAAAUGGAAAAAGAAAAGAAAUGGAGGCAUUGUGUGAUAUUUGCCUAAAUAUAACUAAAGAGAUCCAUUUAUUUUUAGUGUUUGAUUAAAAACCCUCAAAGGAAAAGAGAAAUUUUGAUCUUUGAGAAGAGCUGUUUCAUCACAGGGUGAAGUUGUUUCCUGAGCCCUUUGAUCUGAAAUGACCUUGCGACCUGGAACCAGCAGACAGCCUGAGGGAGGCAGUGCAUGUUCUGAGCCAGGGCCUCAGGAGGCCUGCAGCUGCCAUUCUGCUUCUGUUGGAACAUGACCUCCUUGAGAACACUCCCAGGCCUGACUGCAGGGUGGGGAGACCACACAGAGCAGAGCCGAGCCACCGGGAUGAGGCCCCUAGAUCACCCAGCUCCCAGCUGACCACAGAUCAUGAGUGAUCCCGUUUCUCCCUAGGUCAAGGGUGAUGUUUUGCUCAGAGAAAACUGAAGUUUGGAUUGUUCCAGUCCUGCAUCACAUCCUGUUUCAGGCUGCCCUAAAACAAAACCAGAAACAACCAUCACCACAAAACACCAUACCUUCAAUAGUCUUCUCAGUGUUCAGAAUAAAGGCUCUGGUUUUCCCUUGGGCUCAAUUUUCAUGAUUGUGUCUCCUUUGUCAAUAUGUUUUUCAUCUUCCUCACUUUCAAACUGCACUU
rnacentral:lncRNA from 1 species